rnacentral:lncRNA from 1 species
CUCAAAUCUCCACAGGGAGAUGUCAAUAGUGAUACCACACUCACACUCAGCUUUCAGUUUGUCCAAGACCCAGGCAUACUUGAAGGAGUCCUUUCCCAUCUCGGCAGCCUCCUUUUCAAACCUUUAGAUGGUUGGUUUGUUGAUUCCACCACAUUUGUAGAUCAGGUGGCCGGUUGUGGCAGACUUGCCAGAAUCUACGUGUCCAAUUACAACAAUGUUGAUGUGAGUCUUUUUCCUUUCCUAUUUUUGCUUU